rnacentral:rRNA from 1 species
GGGGAAUAUUGCACAAUGGGCGAAAGCCUGAUGCAGCAACGCCGCGUGAGUGAUGACGGCCUUCGGAUUGUAAAGCUCUGUCUUUGGGGACGAUAAUGACGGUACCCAAGGAGGAAGCCGCGGCUAACUACGUGCCAGCAGCUGCGGUAAUACGUAGGUGGCAAGCGUUGUCCGGAUUUACUGGGCGUAAAGGGUGCGUAGGCGGACCUUUAAGUGAGAUGUGAAAUCCCCGAGCUUAACUUGGGGGCUGCAUUUCAAACUGGAGGUCUAGAGGGCAGGAGAGGAGAGUGGAAGUCCUAGUGUAGCGGUGAAAUGCGUAGAGAUUAGGAAGAACACCAGUGGCGAAGGCGACUCUCUGGACUGUAACUGACGCUGAGGCACGAAAGCGUGGGGAGCAAACAG